AUGAACGGUUCCGGCAGGGCGAGCGCGCGGGGCGGCGGGGAUCGCCUGCCGCCGGAGCCGCAGCGCGAUCCGCUCGAGUUCCUCUCCCGCUCCUGGAGCGCGUCCGCCGCCGACGUCUCCCGCGCGUUCGCCGCCGCGCCGGCGGCCGGCGCCAUCGCGGAGGACAUCGCCGGGGAGCUCGACGACGCCGCGAGCGCCGGCACCGGCACCGGCAGCUCCUUCUCCUUCGCAUCUGCGGCCACCUCGCAGCUCAUCAUGGACCGGAUCAUGUCCCACUCGCAAGAGGUGUCGCCGCUGACCUCCGGCCGCCUCUCCCACAGCAGCGGGCCCCUCAACGGCGGCGGCUCGUUCUCCGACAGCCCGCCCGUCUCGCCGGAUGUCGACGACAGCAGGAUGCAGUUUUGCAGGGCAGUGAGCACGCCCAAGGCGCAGCCACCGCGGGGCGGCAGCAAGACGGUGGGCCGGUGGCUCAAGGACAAGAAGGAGAAGAGGAAGGAGGAGACCAGGGCGCACAACGCGCAGGUCCACGCCGCCGUCACAGUGGCGGCCGUGGCCGCUGCCGUCGCCGCCGCGGCCGCCGCCACCGCGGGGUCCGGCGGUAAAGACGAUCGCGCCGCGCGCACCGACAUGGCGAUGGCGUCCGCAGCCACGCUGGUCGCCGCGCAGUGCGUGGAGGCGGCUGAGUCCAUGGGCGCCGAGCGCGAGCACCUCGCCGCCGCCGUCGGCUCGGCGGUCAACGCCAGGACCCCCGGCGACAUCGUCACCAUCACGGCCGCCGCCGCCACUGCGUUACGAGGCGCGGCGACGCUGAGGGCGAGGGUGCAGAAGGAGGCGUGGAACGUCGCUGCGGUGAUCCCGGUGGAGAAGGGCUCCAUGGGAAUGGGAGGUCACGGCCACGGCCACAAGCACGGCGCCACCCAGAGGCAGCUGCAGCAGCAGCAGCCGCAUCACAAGGUGCAGGAGAUGGGCAGCAGCAACAGCAGCAGCUUCAGCGACGACCUGCCGGCGGUCGAUCAGGACGAGAACAACUUCCUCGGCAUCUGCUGCCAAGACCUGCUCGCCCGCGGCAUCGAGCUCCUCAAGCGCACCCGCAAAGGAUCGUUGCAUUGGAAGGUCGUAUCAGUGUACAUCAACCGGACGGGCGUGGUGAUGCUGAAGAUGAAGAGCAGGCAUGUCGCCGGGACCAUAACCAAGAAGAAGAAGAGCGUGGUGGUGGACGUGUGCAGGGACCUGGCGGCGUGGCCGGGGCGGCACCUGCUGGAGGGCGGCGAGCACCGGCGCUACUUCGGCCUGCGCACGGCGGAGCACCGGGUGAUCGAGUUCGAGUGCGCGAGCCAGAGGGAGCACGACAUGUGGACCAAGGGCGUGGCGCGCCUCCUCGCCAUCGUUGACGGCCGCAAGCGCUUCGCAUGA
rnacentral:rRNA from 1 species